AGGGCGGAGGACACACACACACACACACACACACAUCGACACAAGUGGUAGUCACAGGAAGGAGGAGCGCGAAGAUGCCGCCGAAGCUGACCUCGAAGAACAUCUUCGAUGUCGUCUUCGAUGAGCUCCCCGUAGAUGCCUUUAUUGACACCGGGCCGGCCUCUCUCAAGGAGGAGCUCAUGCUCGAGGCGGCGGGCAUGCUCAGCAGCACCGGCGAGGGCACCGGAGGUCAACGCAGUGCCCAGCGAGGCGGUACCAACGCCGCCAACGGUAGCGGUGGUGGAGGCGGGUCCACGAGCUAUCGGCGGCACCUUCUCCCUUCCGCCUUUGUGGCGGCGACGGCGGCCAUCGUCCGGUCAAGCGGCCGUUUGGCGGCCGCCGCGUCAGAGGACUCGGCAGCUGCUGCAGCGCCUGAAGCAGCUGCCGAGCAGUGUGAAGACCCGCAAGACGCCGACGUUCUGGACGCCGAGGACCUUGAGGACGGCACUUCAUCGCCGCUGUCGGCACACGCUCGUCCGCCAGCCUACACGUCGACGCCCGCACGUACAACGGAGGUCUAUUCCGGCAACGUCUUUCGCACAGUUGACGAUGACGUGGAUGACCGAAGUGCUGAUCGUUUUGUGGCGAGGCGGCGGGGCAUCCGCGACGCUCACGGGCGGCGCGACGGCGGCCGUGAUGCCACGGACGCGGAAAGAGGCCUUGACAUGCAGAUGGAUGCCGAGGAUGACGCGGUAAAGGAGGCCACCAAGUAUGCCGGCUGUGUGGCAGAAAUUCAGGCAACCGAGCAAGCCGGCACUAAGCCACAGCCGGCGUUCUCUGGGCAGCCUAUCGGUAGCGGCAGUAAGCCGAACCUGCUUGAUGCUCGUCCUGUAGCGAGCAACGCAGGCUCCAGAAUCGCGCCCGGUGUGAGUGUAGCCGGCAGUGGCACCGAGCUGUCGAUCAGCGGUGACGCCGCUGUUGAGGGGACCGUACCUGCGACAGUGACGAGCGUUACCGCGCAGUCGACAGAGGGCAUCAAAACCGCUGCGCUGGUGGCGGCCGGGGCGUCGUCAGCCGCCGUCUCCGGAGCAGCAAGUCCGCAUGGCGAAGGUCAGAUCGGCGACCAGGCACUUCCCUCCUACGGGCAAGUCCGAUCUGAGGCUCGCGGCGCCGGGCAUGCAGCCGUCAGUGGUGGCCAGGCAGUUUCUGUCGCAGGAGGGCCGCUUCUUCAGCGACCUUUCGGCGUUGCCCGCGCACCACAGAGAGGUGGCACUCUCACGGCGGCCGAGCAGCUUGCCCUCAUGCCUCCAGGUCUCGAUCGCAUGUACACCGGUGCCUGCGUCAUGUAUCGCCACCCGAAGAACUUCGGCUUCGUCUCGCCAGACGUGGGCGGGCCGGACGUGUUCUUCAUCAUUGACAGCAUCGCCCUCUCCUUUACGAAACUGGCGCUCCGGGCCUUCUACCUGCGCAGUGGCAUGCCGGUGCCGCCCUCCGUCGCCGCUGCGUAUCGCCUCGGGGCAGCAAACGACAGUUCAACGCCAGCAGGCGGAGAUGGGGCACCGAUCAGUAGCACAACAACAGCUGAGGCGAACGCUGCAACGGCAGCGGACGCGAACAGCACGGCGCCGGAUCAAGUUUCGGUGCCGGCCCCCGCGUUCCCCGGAGUCGCAGCAGGCGUCACGGCUGCUAGAAAUGGACAGGCAACGAUAGCCGGUGCCGUUCUUGGCGAGGUAGGCGUUCUCGGUGCCACACCUGUGUCGGCGACUCGGCCGGGGGACGCUGGCGACCGCGUCUCCAUACCGCCAACCACAGCAGAAGAGCUGGCAUGGGCGGAGACGGCUGCUUCGCUGCUAACCAGCGCCACCGCGCGGCUUCUCCAGUGCCAAGUAGAUCAAGGCAUCGGCGGCGGCCUUCGGGUUGGGGAUCGCAUGAGCUUCGUUGUCACCCGAAACCACGCCGCGCGUGGCGGAAACGGCCGCCUGCUGCGAGCCGAGUUCAUCCGGGGCGUGCCGGCGAUGCAGCUGGCGAUGCCGCUCGAGCAAAGCUGGUUCCAUCCGCUGUUCCCUGGCGCCGUCGGCCAGAAGACCAGCGCCCCGUAUGGCGCCGCCUCAAGGCCACCACCACCUCCUCCCUCUUCGUCUUCCGCUGAGGGCGGUGGCAGAGACGCGUCAAGUGCAGGGGAGCCUCUUGGCCCCUUCGACUCUACCUCCACGGUCCUCACUCGCUACACCGGCUGCGUGCGCACGUACGACGCGGAGGAGCAGCGCGGCUACAUCCGCUGCGACGAGUCGGAUGGCAGUGGUGGCGGCCACACGCCUGAUGUCAUCUUCUACGCGCACUCAGUGCUUUGGGACUUGACGCGCUGCCCACCGCUGAAGCGACAGGUGAAGGAGAGCAUGCGGCUGGCCUACAGUGUAUGCGGGACGGAACGCAACGGCAAGUACGUCGCCACCCUCAUCACCAACCCAGACGGCGAGCCUUUCUGCGAGGAAAAUAUGACGUUUGCCGAGAACGUGCUACCGUUUUUCAUAGCUGACGGGGGUGUACCGAGCAGGCGGCGUGGGCGUGGCGAGGACGGCGGCGGUGUUAGCAGCGGCCGCGGCGGGAUGGGUAUGGACGUUGGCGCCGGCGCAAGUGCCGAGGGUGUUGGGAGCGACCGCAAGCGUGUCAAGGCAGCGGAAGACGACAUGCUACUCCUCUACGCUGAGGAUGACUACCCUUUCAUGUGACCACGCGUUCGUGUCAACAGGGCAAUGAGAGAGGAGGAGGCGCACUUGCGUGCCAGCGCUGGUGCGGUGCUUCCUUAGGACGCCGGCGCCUCGCCUUGCCUGUGCUUCGUGUCGUGUCGGUGACGAAAGUGUCUCUGGGAGAAAGAGGGGGGCGAUUACCCUCGCCGUGCGAGUUGGCGGUGUGAUGGUGUAUAAGUGCGCAUAUAUCGCGGAACACGCG
rnacentral:misc_RNA from 1 species